rnacentral:rRNA from 1 species
GGUUAAGCGACUAAGCGUACACGGUGGAUGCCCUGGCAGUCAGAGGCGAUGAAGGGCGUGCUAAUCUGCGAUAAGCGCCGGUAAGGUGAUAUGAACCGUUAUAACCGGCGAUACCCGAAUGGGGAAACCCAGUGUGACUCGUCACACUAUCAUUAACUGAAUCCAUAGGUUAAUGAGGCGAACCGGGGGAACUGAAACAUCUAAGUACCCCGAGGAAAAGAAAUCAACCGAGAUUCCCCCAGUAGCGGCGAGCGAACGGGGAGGAGCCCAGAGCCUGAAUCAGCAUGUGUGUUAGUGGAAGCGUCUGGAAAGGCGCGCGAUACAGGGUGACAGCCCCGUACACAAAAGCGCAUGUGUUGUGAGCUCGAUGAGUAGGGCGGGACACGUGGUAUCCUGUCUGAAUAUGGGGGGACCAUCCUCCAAGGCUAAAUACUCCUGACUGACCGAUAGUGAACCAGUACCGUGAGGGAAAGGCGAAAAGAACCCCGGCGAGGGGAGUGAAAAAGAACCUGAAACCGUGUACGUACAAGCAGUGGGAGCACAGGUUUACCUGUGUGACUGCGUACCUUUUGUAUAAUGGGUCAGCGACUUAUAUUCUGUAGCAAGGUUAACCGUAUAGGGGAGCCGGAGGGAAACCGAGUCUUAAUUGGGCGUUAAGUUGCAGGGUAUAGACCCGAAACCCGGUGAUCUAGCCAUGGGCAGGUUGAAGGUUGGGUAACACUAACUGGAGGACCGAACCGACUAAUGUUGAAAAAUUAGCGGAUGACCUGUGGCUGGGGGUGAAAGGCCAAUCAAACCGGGAGAUAGCUGGUUCUCCCCGAAAGCUAUUUAGGUAGCGCCUCGUGAAUUCAUCUCCGGGGGUAGAGCACUGUUUCGGCUAGGGGGCCAUCCCGGCUUACCAACCCGAUGCAAACUGCGAAUACCGGAGAAUGUUAUCACGGGAGACACACGGCGGGUGCUAACGUCCGUCGUGAAGAGGGAAACAACCCAGACCGCCAGCUAAGGUCCCAAAGUCAUGGUUAAGUGGGAAACGAUGUGGGAAGGCCCAGACAGCCAGGAUGUUGGCUUAGAAGCAGCCAUCAUUUAAAGAAAGCGUAAUAGCUCACUGGUCGAGUCGGCCUGCGCGGAAGAUGUAACGGGGCUAAACCAUGCACCGAAGCUGCGGCAGCGA